rnacentral:rRNA from 1 species
CGGAUUGUAGUCUGCAACCCGACUACAUGAAGCUGGAAUCGCUAGUAAUCGCGAAUCAGAAUGUCGCGGUGAAUACGUUCCCGGGUCUUGUACACACCGCCCGUCACACCAUGGGAGUCGGAAAUGCCCGAAGUCAGUGAACCUAACCGAAAGGGAGGAGCUGCCGAAGGUGGAGCCGGUAACUGGGGUGGAAGUCGUAACAAGGUAUC